GUCUAUGGCCAUGCCACCCUGAACGUGCCCAAUCUCGUCUGAUCUUGGAAGCUAAGCAGGGUCAAGCCUGGUUAGUACUAGGACAGGAGACCACGUAGGAUACCAGGUACUGCAGCUG
rnacentral:rRNA from 1 species